GAUGAACGCUAGCGGCAGGCUUAAUACAUGCAAGUCGAGGGGCAGCAGUUUUGUAGCAAUACAGAAGCUGGCGACCGGCAAACGGGUGCGGAACACGUACGCAACCUUCCUUUAACUGGGAGAUAGCCCACCGAAAGGUGGAUUAAUAUCCCAUAAUAUAACUGAAUGGCAUCAUUUAGAUAUUAAAGCUCCGGCGGUUAAAGAUGGGCGUGCGUCUGAUUAGGUAGUUGGCGGGGUAACGGCCCACCAAGCCUUCGAUCAGUAGCUGAUGUGGGAGCAUGAUCAGCCACACGGGCACUGAGACACGGGCCCGACUCCUACGGGAGGCAGCAGUAAUGAAUAUUGGUCAAUGGACGCAAGUCUAAACCAGCCAUGCCGCGUGGAGGAUGAAGGCCCUCUGGGUUGUAAACUUCUUUUCUUUGGGACGAAACCCCUGUUUCUACGGGGACUGACGGUACCAGAGGAAUAAGCACCGGCUAACUCCGUGCCAGCCGCCGCAGUAA
rnacentral:rRNA from 1 species